rnacentral:rRNA from 1 species
UACGUAGGCGGGAAAUUAAGUCAGUAGUGAAAUCCCACAGCUUAACUGUGGAACUGUUAUUGAUACUGGUUUUCUUGAAUAUAGUUGAGGUAGGCGGAAUGUGUAAUGUAGCGGUGAAAUGCUUAGAUGUUACACAGAACACCGAUUGCGAAGGCAGCUUACUAAGCUAUGAUUGACGCUGAGGUACGAAAGCGUGGGGAGCGAACAGGAUUAGAUACCCUGGUAGUCC